rnacentral:rRNA from 1 species
AACGCGAAGAACCUUACCUGGGCUCGAAGCGCAGUGGACUGGGGUAGAAAUAUCCCUUUCCCGCAAGGGACUGCUGCGGAGGUGCUGCAUGGCUGUCGUCAGCUCGUGUCGUGAGAUGUUGGGUUAAGUCCCGCAACGAGCGCAACCCUUAUCCCUAGUUGCUACCGGGUCAAGCCGAGCACUCUAGUGAAACUGCCUCGGAUAACGAGGAGGAAGGUGGGGAUGACGUCAAGUCCUCAUGGCCUUUAUGUCCAGGGCUACACACGUGCUACAAUGGUCGGUACAAACCGUCGCAAACCCGCGAGGGGGAGCUAAUCGCAAAAAACCGUUCUCAGUUCGGAUCGCAGGCUGCAACUCGCCUGCGUGAAGCUGGAAUCGCUAGUAAUGGCGUAUCAGAAUGAUGCCGUGAAUACGUUCCCGGGCUUGUACACACCGCUAGUC